rnacentral:rRNA from 1 species
UAGGGAAUCUUCCACAAUGGACGCAAGUCUGAUGGAGCAACGCCGCGUGAGUGAAGAAGGUUUCCGGAUCUUAAAGCUCUGUUGUUGGUGAAGAAGGAUAGAGGCAGUAACUGGUCUUUAUUUGUCGGUAAUCAACCAGAAAGUCACGGCUAACUACUUGCCAGCAGCCGCGGUAAUACGUAGGUGGCAAGCGUUGUCCGGAUUUAUUGGGCGUAAAGCGAGCGCAGGCCGAAUGAUAAGUCUGCUGUGAAAGCCCACGGCUCAACCGUGGAACUGCAUCGGAAACUGUCAUUCUUGAGUGCAGAAGAGGAGAGUGGAAUUCCAUGUGUAGCGGUGGAAUGCGUAGAUAUAUGGAAGAACACCAGUGGAGAAGGCGGCUCUUUGGUCUGCAACUGACGCUGAGGCUCGAAAGCAUGGGUAGCGAACAGG